GUUGCCUCGGGAGUACCGAGUUACUGAGGUUCAGACUUUCUUCAGAAAUGCCGAGGGGAGCUGAACAGCAGUUGAAAACGCAGAUAAAGAAAUACAUGGACCGUGCAAACAAAAAUCCUCACAUCAGAACGCAAGGGCAGCCUGAGCUAAACAGCUGGCUGGAUUUGCAUGAAAAUGGACUGCCCUUUUUCAUUUGUUUGUUCUUUGGAAAUUACAGUAGGAAAUCACCACAGGGAAUUUCUCCCACUUAGCUCGGCUCCCAGAGGAGUUGAAGGCUAUUAUGAAAUCGAACUUCCUAGGAGCUCACCAGGGAUAUUUUUAGUCUAUAAUUCAAGCCUUUGCCUGAAGGGCAAGGAGCGUGUCCCAGGCACGAUGCGUGUUCCACAGUCAGUCCCGGUCAUGUGCUACAUCUGCUCCCUGAAGUCAUCUACAACAACACGCUCUCCAACGCUAACAGUUUUCAGGUGGCACAGCAAUAUGUUCUGCACAUGGUCUAAAUCGGGGCUUUUCACACAGCCAUCACAUUUGCUUAGGGAGAAAGUUCCUUUCCAGAGCAGAAACACAGCAUCGUCCCUUCCAGUUCCAUCUGGUAAGAAUAAACUCUGCAGCGGAGUAAAUCUAUUGUCCCUCCAUGUCCAAGCAGAAGUUCCCACCUUAUUGCACCUGAAAACAUGUCUCCUGUAAUGGCCAUCAAACAGAUUUCAAACACGUACAGACGAGCCAGUAAGCGGUGUUUGGAUUCCAUGGUAACUUGAGCAAAGAGUAAAGGAAUUGGACAAAGAGGGAAGAUGAUCUUGCUAGCAAUGGAAAGGAGGGAAAAUAUAUCCCGUAAAGCAGAUGGAGAGAGAUUAUAAAAAUACUAGGCUUGGAUCUGCAUGCACAGCUUUCCAGCCUUGUGGCUCAGUGGUAGAAGGAAAAAUUCAUCUCUUCCUGUAAAUAUUUUUACUCCUCAAAUAAAAUUAUUUCUCAGCAUUAUCA
rnacentral:lncRNA from 1 species